UACAGAGGGUGCAAGCGUUGUUCGGAAUUACUGGGCGUAAAGCGUGCGUAGACGGUUACAUAAGUCGGGUGUGAAAGCCCCGGGCUCAACCUGGGAAUUGCAUUCGAGACUGCGUAGCUAGGGUGCGGAAGAGGGAAGCGGAAUUUCCGGUGUAGCGGUGAAAUGCGUAGAUAUCGGAAGGAACACCAGUGGCGAAAGCGGCUUCCUGGUCCAGCACCGACGUCAGGCACGAAAGCGUGGGGAGCAAACAGG
rnacentral:rRNA from 1 species